rnacentral:lncRNA from 1 species
UGUUGAGUCAGAUAUAUAUAGUACUAGUCCAUGUGCUAGUAGGUUUGGGUAGCUAAGUUUAGUAAAGGUGUGAUCAGCGUUGCCGGGUAUUUAGAUUAGGAAAAGGCAACGUGGCUUAGUUUGUGUUAGAGUAAAAGUACUAGUCGUGUUCGGUUCAGAGUGCAGAACAAGUACAAGUCGGUUUGAGGUCCUGGGUCGGUUGGUGCAUAUAUAUAUGCACAACUAUUGCGUGAGUUUAUUGUAUCAAGGAGAGAAAAGGAGAAAAGCAAUAAAGAGGAAAACAAGGGCACGACAAGGGCCCUUGGCUAUAAGUUUUGUGUGUGCGUAUGUUCAUCGUAUUUGAUGUGAUCGAUCCUGUGGGAGAAUUUCCAACAAUUGGCAUCAGAGCAAGGUCGAUUUCAAGCCGCGCUUGACCCGGGGUGGCGACCCGACUAGCGCCUCGGGGCGGGCGAUAUAGUCGCUGGGUGGUGCAGCGACGAGGGGCAGGUGAUAUAGUCGUUGGGUGGUGCAACGACGAGGAAAGAGCGGGCAAUACGAUCGCUUGGUGGAGCAACGACGUGGAGGAUCAGGCGGUAGUCAUUCCGCGGAUGGACGACGAGAAGGCGGUGACGAUGCCGUCGCAAGCGAGGCGACAUGUGAUUGUCGUUCGGCAGAACAACCAGGAGGAGGGUGGCAGGCUAUCGUCGACAAUGCGUUGGUGAUCAUUGAUGGUUAUGGAGAUGUCGAAGUUGCAACACCGAGGAAAUCAUCGAGAUCAUCGUUGGGGGGUGCGAGGAAGAGGCGACAAAGUUGCGAGCUGUCGUCAAGGUGUGUGCACAUGAGUUCUUGUAAGGAGCGUCCAAGAGUUCAAGUGUGUGAGUCUUCUGCUGCAGUUGAGAUGCGUCACUGGCGGAGGAGAAUUGCGGGUGAGAGCGGGCGGAAAAAGGAAUUCGUGCCUUGAGUUUCCAUUCGUGGUGGUGGAGUUUCAGCGAGUUCAUAUACGGUGGAGAUGAGUUGCACGUAUAUGACGAGUUGUGUUGCUGUUGGAUAGGAGGUGUCGUUUGGUAAGUUGCGUCACCAACGACAAAGAAAAAGAUGUGAAGGUGUGACGGGUGAAAAGAUGUGUCUCCCCGUGUGCAAAAAGAAACCGAUGUGAGGAUGAAGAUCAACGUGAAGGUGGACGCGCACCAGUUAAGUCGAGUUCCUGCAUGAGGCUAUGCGUUUAGUCGGCAUGUAGCACGCUAAGAUGUGUCAGCGUGACUGAUAGUCUGAAUAAUCGUUGGUUCCAGUCUGCAAGUCAGUAUGAAAAAGAAAAGAUGGUGGUGAAGUGGUGGCCAUGAAGAGAGAAGUUGUGGUCCGGUUAGUCACGUCACCGGAGGCAACCGGCGUGACAAGCUGAAGAGAUGGUCGUCUGUGUAUUUGGUAAGUAAAGAAUCGGAUGUUUGGAUUAGGGGGUGAUUGUUAGGUAAUUCAAACAAUACCCAGUUUAGUUUUGAUGAAUUUACUACUAAGUGGUCACAUAUGUGAUAAUAGUUGUGUUGAGUCAGAUAUAUAUAGUACUAGUCCAUGUGCUAGUAGGUUUGGGUAGCUAAGUUUAGUAAAGGUGUGAUCAGCGUUGCCGGGUAUUUAGAUUAGGAAAAGGCAACGUGUCUUAGUUUGUGUUAGAGUAAAAGUACUAGUCGUGUUCGGUUCAGAGUGCAGAACAAGUACAAGUCGGUUUGAGGUCCUGGGUCGGUUGGUGCAUAUAUAUAUAUGCACAACUAUUGCGUGAGUUUAUUG